rnacentral:rRNA from 1 species
CCUACGGGUGGCAGCAGUGAGGAAUAUUUGUCAAUGGGCGCGAGCCUGAACCAGCCAAGUAGCGUGAAGGAUGACUGCCCUACGGGUUGUAAACUUCUUUUAUAAAGGAAUAAAGUGAGGCACGUGUGCCUUUUUGUAUGUACUUUAUGAAUAAGGAUCGGCUAACUCCGUGCCAGCAGCCGCGGUAAUACGGAUGAUCCGAGCGUUAUCCGGAUUUAUUGGGUUUAAAGGGAGCGUAGAUUGGUUGUUAAGUCAGGUGUGAAAGUUUGCGGCUCAACCGUAAGAUUGCAAUUGAUACUGGCAGUCUUGAGUACAGGUGAGGUAGGCGGAAUUCGUGGUGUAGCAGUGAAAUGCUUAGAUAUCACGAAGAACUCUGAUUGCGAAGGCAGCUUACUAAACUGCAACUGACAUUGAUGCUCGAAAGUGUGGGUAGCAAACAGGAUUAGAUACCCCUGUAGUC